rnacentral:rRNA from 1 species
GACGUAGGGCGCGAGCGUUGUCCGGAUUUAUUGGGCGUAAAGAGCUCGUAGGCGGCUCGUUGCGUCAACCGUGAAAACCCGGGGCUUAACUUCGGGCUUGCGGUUGAUACGGGCGGGCUGGAGUUCGGGUAGGGGAGACUGGAAUUCCUGGUGUAGCGGUGAAAUGCGCAGAUAUCAGGAGGAACAUCGAUGGGCGAAGGCAGGUCUCUGGGCCGAUACUGACGCUGAGGAGCGAAAGCGUGGGGAGCGAACAGG